rnacentral:lncRNA from 1 species
AGUCAGCCCCACAGCGACCCCAGGCCACUUGUGCAGACUGGGCCGAGUGUGACUUCUCUCUCUGGUCCUCAGGGCAUGACAUUGAAGAGGUCAACCGGGACACUUUGGGGAAUGAGCCUCUCUCCCUGGACCUGCCCAGGGAGUCACCAUCGCCUCCCAUGUAUCAGAAGCAGUAAAAGCGGGUUCCAACCUGGUGCAGUUUCUUACCAGACUGGGAUUCAAAUUCAGGGCUCUUGGCAAUAUGCUCAGGAGAAAAAUUCCAUUUUCAAAGCUUGCUAGUGGACCAGAUAAGGCUUCUGGUGAAACUGCUGUGGCUCUUCCCUGGGAUUUCCCAAUCACAGACAUGAUGGCUGGAGCUCCCGUAGCUAUAUUGUAGCCUUGAGGUGGAAGCCAUCAUCCAAGGACAGCAGAGCAGAAGAAUGGGCACCCGGAGCCUCUGAUGACUCUGAGGAGCUACCAUACAAGAUUGGAGGGUUGGCUUCUACUUUUAUGUAAAAGAAUACACCAUCAGUCUAAACCAUUAGGCUUAAAAUACUGUAUACCUUUGUGGACAUUUUAAAAUUAAGGUCUAAAAUUAUUUUAAGGGUCUAAAUUUAUUUUACAUAGUUGCAAAAACAUAUGAUUCUGACUUAUUGAAACUUAACAUUAUAAGACCAUCACAUCACUUUUUGAAAUGUAGUCAAAGAAAUAUAAGUUUGUAGUAAUUUGAUAUUUCCCAUUGUCUACCUGAAAUACAUGAACAGAA